rnacentral:rRNA from 1 species
UGGGGAAUAUUGGACAAUGGGGGCAACCCUGAUCCAGCCAUGCCGCGUGAGUGAUGAAGGCCUUCGGGUUGUAAAACUCUUUUACCGGUGACGAUGAUGACGGUAACCGGAGAAAAAGCCCCGGCUAACUUCGUGCCAGCAGCCGCGGUAAUACGAAGGGGGCGAGCGUUGUUCGGAAUUACUGGGCGUAAAGGGCGCGUAGGCGGCUUUAUAAGUCAGAUGUGAAAGCCCCAGGCUCAACCUGGGAACAGCAUUUGAUACUGUAGGGCUUGAGUUCAGAAGAGGAGGGCGGAAUUCCCAGUGUAGAGGUGAAAUUCGUAGAUAUUGGGAAGAACACCAGUGGCGUAGGCGGCUCUCUGGUCUGACACUGACGCUGAGGCGCGAAAGCGUGGGGAGCAAA